GACGAACGCUGGCGGCGUGCUUAAUACAUGCAAGUCGAACGCACAGUCUAUACCGUAGCUUGCUACACCAUAAACUGUGAGUUGCGAAAGGGUGAGUAACGCGUAGGUAACCUGCCUGGUAGCGGGGGAAAACUAUUGGAAACGAUAGCUAAUACCGCAUACUAUUGAUUAUUGCAUGAUAAUUGAUUGAAAGUUGCUAUUGCAUCACUACCAGAUGGACCUUCGUUGGAUUAGCUAGUAGGUGAGGUAACGGCUCACCUAGGCGACGAUACAUAGCCGACCUGAGAGGAUGAGCAGCCACACUGGGAGUGUGACACGGCACAGACUGCUACGGGAGGCAGCAGUAGGGAAACUUCGGCAAUGGACGAAAGUCUGACCGAGCAACGCCGCGGGAGGGAAGAAGGUUUUCGGAUCGUAAAGCUCUGUUGUAAGGGAAGAACGGGUGUGAGAGUGUAAAGUUCACACUGUGACGGUAUCUUACCAGAAAGGGACGGCUAACUACGUG
rnacentral:rRNA from 1 species